rnacentral:rRNA from 1 species
CACCGCGGUUAUACGAGGGGCUCGAGUUGAUAGAUCACGGCGUAAAGUGUGGUUAUGGGAAACAUGUUUAACUAAAGCUAAAGAGCCCCUAGGUUGUUAUACGCAUCUGGACGUUCGAACCCCAAUAACGAAAGUAGCUUUAACCCCUUCUGCCAGACUCCACGACAGCUGAGAAA